AACCAUUCUCACCUGCGGCUAGACCUGCGGAAGGAUCAUUACCGAGUUACUGGGUCGGCGCUUACGCCUCCUGUUCUCCCACCCUAUGUUUACUUAUCCCUGUUGCCUCGGCGGGCCUGCGGGCCCUACCUGCUGCUGGUCUCGGCUAGCUAGUGCCCGCCAGAGGACCCCAUUAAACUCUAUUUUAACGUGUUGUCUGAGUAAAACUAAUAAAGUUAAAACUUUUAACAACGGAUCUCA
rnacentral:misc_RNA from 1 species